rnacentral:rRNA from 1 species
UUUUCAGCGGCGGACGGGUGAGUAACGCGUGAGCAAUCUGUCCCGGAAAGAGGGAUAACACUUGGAAACAGGUGCUAAUACCACAUAAGACCACGCUACCGCAUGGUAGAGGGGUAAAAGGAGCAAUCCGAUCCGGGGUGAGCUCGCGUCUGAUUAGCUAGUUGGUGAGGUAACGGCCCACCAAGGCGACGAUCAGUAGCCGACCUGAGAGGGUGAUCGGCCACAUUGGAACUGAGACACGGUCCAAACUCCUACGGGAGGCAGCAGUGGGGAAUAUUGGGCAAUGGGCGAAAGCCUGACCCAGCAACGCCGCGUGAGGGAAGAAGGUUUUCGGAUUGUAAACCUCUGUCCUAUGUGACGAAGAAAGUGACGGUAACAUAGGAGGAAGCCCCGGCUAACUACGUGCCAGCAGCCGCGGUAAUACGUAGGGGGCGAGCGUUGUCCGGAAUGACUGGGCGUAAAGGGCGUGUAGGCGGCCGAUUAAGUCUGAAGUGAAAGUCCUGCUUUUAAGGUGGGAAUUGCUUUGGAGACUGGUUGGCUUGAGUGCGGAAGAGGUAAGUGGAAUUCCCAGUGUAGCGGUGAAAUGCAUAGAGAUUGGGAAGGAACACCAGGUGGCGGGAGGCGACUUUACAGGGCCGUUACUGACGCUGAGGCGCGAAAGCGUGGGGAGCGAACAGGAUUAGAUACCCUGGUAGUCCACGCGGUAAACGAUGAGUGCUAGGUGUAGCGGGUAUCGACCCCUGCUGUGCCGCAGUAAACACAAUAAGCACUCCGCCUGGGGAGUACGGCCGCAAGGUUGAAACUCAAAGGAAUUGACGGGGCCCCGCACAAGCAGCGGAGCAUGUGGUUUAAUUCGAAGCAACGCGAAGAACCUUACCAGGUCUUGACAUUGAUGCAAAACCGUAGAGAUACGGCGUGACUUCGGUCAGCUGAAAACAGGUGGUGCAUGGUUGUCGUCAGCUCGUGUCGUGAGAUGUUGGGUUAAGUCCCGCAACGAGCGCAACCCUUAUGAUCAGUUGCUAACAGGUAGUGCUGAGAACUCUGAUAAGACUGCCGGGGACAACUCGGAGGAAGGUGGGGACGACGUCAAAUCAUCAUGCCCCUUAUGACCUGGGCUACACACGUGCUACAAUGGCGGCUACAAAGAGAAGCGAACUCGUAAGGGAGAGCGGAUCUCAAAAAAGCCGUCUCAGUUCGGAUUGUGGGCUGCAACCCGCCCACAUGAAGUUGGAGUUGCUAGUAAUCGCGAAUCAGAAUGUCGCGGUGAAUACGUUCCCGGGGCUUG